UUGCAACCCCUGCUUUUUGUUUUGUUUUGUUUUCCAUUUGCCUGGUGGAUCUUUUUCUUUGUUUUUCUAAAGAAUCACACAUCUAAGUGCUAAAGAGGACUUCAGGGGUCGCCUGGUCUAAUCUCCACCCCACCAAUGAGAAAACUAGUCCAGAGGAGUCCAGGGCUUGCCUGCGUCUGAGAUGACCCUGGAGCUGACUGUUGGCACUGGGGCUAAAUGAUGAAAAACUCAAGGCCUAGAGAAGUCAAGUGAUUUUAAGCCCUGGUCUGUGUGACCCCAGAGCCAUCUCUUGAACACUCGAAAGAACCGUGCACGAGUGGCUGGGUUUGUGGUUUGAGGACAGAGCAGUGACCUCGCUGCUUGCUCAGCUCUGCAGGUGUGUUUACUCCUCUGGGCCCAGUGCCUCCCUCAUUCAAUGGAAGUGACGGCAUCCAACUCACAAGACAGGAGACUCAACAGAAUGACCAAGUGGAGAAGCCAUCUAAGUUCUCAGCGACCUCGCCGAAUGAGUGAAGAGGAACCAGGGCGGGGAAGACUCACGAGGGAAGAGGAGACCGCUUUGUUCUGUUCGAUUCUAAGAGGACACAGACGGCGCCAUUCACUUCAGUUUCCCCAGCACCUGGCUUAACUCUGACAUGCUCAACGGUCUAUAAGGACUGGCUAUCUAAUGAACCGGUGUCAAAUUAGGACCUGAUUCAGAAGAGACAUGAGGACGGGAUCUGUUCUAAACAGACGGUGCAAAGGGGAAAGGCACAGAUUCAGUGUUUCCAUGCCUUUUAACAUCUCAGCGAGAGGUAAGAAAGCAUGUCGGGAACACAGGCCCGGCUGAUGAAAGUGUCUGAUGCUAACACAUGACCUGUCUUCUGCUGGGCACGCUAAGGGACCACAAGCAAGCUACGCCCCAGAGCCACUCCACAUUCUCUCUGGGUGCACCGGCUCUUGGUCAUGCAAGGCCGCGCCAGCCUCCAAGGUGAGCCAGAAGGACACACACCUGUGGAUUCGAUGUUCCUGACUUGGGCUCGAUGGCCAGCCCCAGGGUGACUCCGCCCGCCAGUGCUUUCUUCAGGCUCUCCUUGACCUCCGUCAGCUCCAGCUCCAGGCUGACGCGCUCCGCCUCCUUCUGCCGGCACUCCUCCUCCAGCUGCUUCAGCUUCUCCUCCAGAAUCGCCUGUGGCUUCCUGCCUGAAUUCCCAGAAAUGCCCUUACUCCCGCGGCCGGCACAGGUUCUCCAAACAACAGAGAAGGCACCUGCUCCCCAAAAAGAACUUCCACAAAACGUUUUGAGGUUGAGCUCCCCUGACUUAGAUCCUCGUUGCAAAACUUAAAUUCAGCAGUUCUCUAAGGGACCAGAGUCCUCCUCCAACCACUUCCCUUUGCUGCAGCUGUGAAGACUCGGACCAGGCAACGGGAGACGCUGAUUCUCACCAAGGCUGGGAGCUCCUGGCUCUGAGACUCAGUGUACUCAUUUUGAAACGUGGACCCUAAACUCCACAGUUCCUGAAGCUGCCACUGCAUAGGGGUGUGAACCCCGUCCUUCCCUAACGCUCCACCGAUCCCUCAGUCAUCUUAUUUGCCCCCGAGGCAAUGAACAGUAGCACAGCUUGCAUCUCUACUGGACAUGGCACACGUUCCUUUAAGGUACGUUCACUUAUUUUAUUUGAGGUUUGCUGCAGGGACCCAAGACGCACCCACUGGACAGAUGAGAACACCAGUCCCAAGAGGUGAAUGGACUUGUGCCCAGGGCCUGGGCCGGUGCUGGCCAGCAGCCGAGGUUCUCUUUUUCAAAGCCAAAAGCACCCCUGGCCUUCCUGCAUCUUCACUAUCCUGCAAGCUUGGAACACGGGAGAAAUGCUACUUCUGUCUCGUUAAACUCCAUGCCCCGCCCCAUUCUCUGGCACAGCCUCCUUCUAUAGGGCCGGCCUCAGGCUGCAGGCCACAUUCUGGUUCCUCCUUUGGGUCAGCCUGCCCUGCCCUGCGGACACCUGCCUUCCCUCCUCUAAACUCCAAAAGCAUUUCCCUUCAUCAAAUCAUUGAGGCACCAAGUCCAGAAGGGUUGGAGCUGGUAAUCGCCUGCUGGGUGUGCGUCAGCUCCUCCCCGCACGGCGAGCCACAGAAAGGCCGCAGCUUCCUCUCUGGACCGCGCAGGCCUCUGUGGCAUCUAAAGAACCCAUCCCAGCCCAGACUAGUACAAUUUCAAUCUAAGGAGCCAGUCUUCCACAGUCUAAGCACCAAGCUGCACGGGAGGCCAUGCGUAUGUAAGCGGUGCCACCCCAGGGUCAGGAGCUGAGCACCAGCUCCCGCCAGCAGGAACGCACAUGACUGGCCCUGGGGUUCCGCUCGGGCUCCAGACUCAGCUCCUGUGACUGCGCCCUGACUUUUAGUCCCUCUCUGGUGUCUGUAUUCCACUAGCUUGGCCUCUUCCCCAAUGCAUCCCAAGACAGAUGUUGCCUUGCUCUCGCCUCUCCCUUCUCAAGAAACGAGGGGCUUCUACCCAUGCAGAGAUGUCUUGCCUCGCCUGGACUUCUGAGUAUCACUCCCCCUGUGGGCUACCCCCGGUGGAGAAAUCCAGCUGAUCCCUGCGGAUACAGGGGCCAUCCUCCAGUCAGCGCCAGAUGCCGGAACAGGUCCCCCAUCACCUCCCCUGCCUCGGGGAGCAGCGGUGGGUCCGGCCCUGGCCUCGGCCUGCAUGCCGCAUGUUUGACCACCCCGGCACCUGCCUUGCAGUUACCAGCAAAGUUUCCAAGCCCCAAGAAACACUGUGAAAUAACCCACCCUUACCAAAUAACUCACUGUCACGAAAUAACCCACUCUUACUAACGCACUCUCACCCACUAACGCACUCUCACCCACUAACGCACUCUUACUCUCACCAAAUAACCCAUAACCAACUCUUACCCACUAACCCACUCACACCAACUAACCCACUCACACCAACUAACCCACUCUCACCCACUAACCCACUCACACCAACUAAUCCACUCUUACUAACCCACUCUUACUAACUAACCCACUUUCACCAACCCACUUUUACCUACUCUCACCCAUUCACCCACUGUCACCCACUCUCACCCACUAACCCACUCUUACUAACCCACUCUCACCAAUCUCACCAAAUAACCCACUCUCACCCACUAACCCACACACACCACCUAAUCCACUCUUACUAACCCACUCUUACCCACUUUCACCAACUAACCCACUCUCACCCACUAACCCACUCUCACUCAUUCACCCACUCUCACCCACUCUUACUGUCACCCACUAACCCACUCUUAAUAACCCACUCACACCAACUAACCCAAUUAUUAACCCACUUUCACCCACUAACCCACUCUUAAUAACCCACUCACACCAACU